GUGGGGAAUCUUGCGCAAUGGGGGAAACCCUGACGCAGCAACGCCGCGUGAGCGAUGAAGGCCUUCGGGUUGUAAAGCUCUGUCAGGAGGGAAGAAAAGGUCCGGUUGAAUAGGCCGGGCUGUUGACGGUACCUCCAAAGGAAGCCCCGGCUAACUCCGUGCCAGCAGCCGCGGUAAUACGGAGGGGGCGAGCGUUGUUCGGAAUUAUUGGGCGUAAAGAGCACGUAGGCGGCGCGGUAAGUCUUGUGUGAAAGCCCUCGGCUCAACCGAGGAAGUGCACCGGAAACUGCCGUGCUUGAGUACGGGAGAGGAGAGUGGAAUUCCCGGUGUAGCGGUGAAAUGCGUAGAUAUCGGGAAGAACACCAGUGGCGAAGGCGGCUCUCUGGACCGUUACUGACGCUGAGGUGCGAAAGCUGGGGGAGCGAACGGG
rnacentral:rRNA from 1 species